AUAAUAUUGCAUUUACUGGAAAUGACCAUACCAAAGGUUACCUAGACCAACAAGCCAUAAAUAAUUAAAUUUGGGGAAAACUAACCCAGGAUCAAAAAAUCUUGUGACCAUUGAUUGCACUUUUUCAAUAAAUAAGGUGGAACUGUGACAAUCUUAAAAUGUAUUGAUUCCCUAUGUUCUCAAACAUAAUGUUUAAAAUCUUAAUGUUUAAAAGAUGC